GAGUUUGAUCCUGGCUCAGGAUGAACGCUGGCGGCGUGCUUAACACAUGCAAGUCGAACGAUGAAGAGAGCUUGCUCUUGGAUUAGUGGCGAACGGGUGAGUAACACGUGAGUAACCUGCCCUUGACUCUGGGAUAAGCACUGGAAACGGUGUCUAAUACCGGAUACGAGCUUCCGCCGCAUGGUGAGGAGCUGGAAAGAAUUUUGGUCAAGGAUGGACUCGCGGCCUAUCAGCUAGUUGGUGAGGUAAUGGCUCACCAAGGCGACGACGGGUAGCCGGCCUGAGAGGGUGACCGGCCACACUGGGACUGAGACACGGCCCAGACUCCUACGGGAGGCAGCAGUGGGGAAUAUUGCACAAUGGGCGAAAGCCUGAUGCAGCAACGCCGCGUGAGGGAUGACGGCCUUCGGGUUGUAAACCUCUUUUAGUAGGGAAGAAGCGAAGGUGACGGUACCUGCAGAAAAAGCACCGGCUAACUACGUG
rnacentral:rRNA from 1 species